UAAACACUACUAUUGUGUUCCUGGUGAACGGACCCAGUCUCGUAAGAACCCUCCCACGGGUGGAGUGCUUUAUAGGCCAGAAAGCCUCUCCAACAGCCUCAGGAGCAGAACUCAGGUUUCAAGUUUUGCCUUUUCCUCCAGAACCAGAAUGACUUUUUGUCCACCUUGCCAUUGGAGGGAAGAGGCCAUGGCUCUCCAGGUGACCAGAGUGAGGACUCAGCUCUGAGGUGGAACAGCCC